rnacentral:rRNA from 1 species
CCAAUAGCGUAUAUUAAAGUUGUUGCAGUUAAAAAGCUCGUAGUUGAAUUUUAGGCCUGGCCGGGCGGUCCGUCUUUGGCGAGUACUGUCCUGUGUCGGGUCCACCUUCUGGUGAACCAGUAUGUCCUUUAUUGGGUGUGCCGGGGAGCCAGGACCAUUACCUUGAAAAAAUUAGAGUGUUUAAAGCAGGCAUUUGCUUGAAUAGAUUAGCAUGGAAUAAUAGAAUAGGACGUUGUGGUUCUAUUUUGUUGGUUUCUAGGACCACCGUAAUGAUUAAUAGGGAUAGUUGGGGGCAUUAGUAUUCAAUUGUCAGAGGUGAAAUUCUUGGAUUUAUUGAAGACUAACUACUGCGAAAGCAUUUGCCAAGGAUGUUUUCAUUAAUCAAGAACGAAAGUUAGGGGAUCGAAGACGAUCAGAUACCGUCGUAGUCUUAACCAUAAACUAUGCCGACUAGGAAUCGGGCGAUGUUGAAAAAAUGACGCGCUCGGCACCUCAUG